rnacentral:rRNA from 1 species
AUUGAACGCUGGCGGCAGGCCUAACACAUGCAAGUCGAACGAGUGGCGGACGGGUGAGUAAUGUAUGGGAAACUGCCCGAUGGAGGGGGAUAACUACUGGAAAGGGUAGCUAAUACCGCAUACCAUCGGAUGUGCCCAGAUGGGAUUAGCUAGUAGGUGGGGUAACGGCUCACCUAGGCGACGAUCCCUAGCUGGUCUGAGAGGAUGACCAUCCACACUGGGACUGAGACACGGCCCAGACUCCUACGGGAGGCAGCAGUGGGGAAUAUUGGACAAUGGGGGCAAGCCUGAUGCAGCCAUGCCGCGUGUAUGAUGAAGGCCUUCGGGUUGUAAAGUACUUUUGGCAAGGAGGCGGUAUCCGCAGAAGAAGCACCGGCUAACUCCGUGCCAGCAGCCGCGGUAAUAC